CCUACGGGAGGCAGCAGUGAGGAAUAUUGGUCAAUGGGCGCGAGCCUGAACCAGCCAAGUCGCGUGAGGGAAGACGGUCCUAUGGAUUGUAAACCUCUUUUGUCGGGGAGCAAAAGACGCCACGCGUGGCGUUCCGAGAGUACCCGAAGAACAAGCAUCGGCUAACUCCGUGCCAGCAGCCGCGGUAAUACGGAGGAUGCGAGCGUUAUCCGGAUUUAUUGGGUUAAAAGGGUGCGCAGGCGGAAGAUCAAGUCAGCGGUAAAAUUGAGAGGCUCAACCUCUUCGAGCCGUUGAAACUGGUGUUCUUGAGUGAGUGAGAAGUAUGCGGAAGGCGUGGUGUAGCGGUGAAAUGCAUAGAUAUCACGCAGAACUCCGAUUGCGAAGGCAGCAUACCGGCGCUCAACUGACGCUCAUGCACGAAAGUGUGGGUAUCGAACAGGAUUAGAUACCCUUGUAGUC
rnacentral:rRNA from 1 species